AUUGAACGCUGGCGGCAGGCCUAACACAUGCAAGUCGAACGAGGGGCGGACGGGAGAGUAAUGUAUGGGAAACUGCCUGAUGGAGGGGGUUAGCUACUGGAAACGGUAGCUAAUACCGCAUACACUCGGAUGGGUCCAGAUGGGAUUAGCUAGUAGGUGGGGUAAAGGCACACCUAGGCGACGAUCCCUAGCUGGUCUGAGAGGAUGAACAGUCACACUGGAACUUAGACACGGUCCAUACUCCUACUGGAGGCAGCAGUGGGGAAUAUUGGACAAUGGGCGCAAGCCUGAUGCAGCCAUGCCGCGUGUAUGAAGAAGGCCUUCGGGUUGUAAAGUACUUUCAGCGGGGAGGCGUUACCCGCAGAAGAAGCACCGGCUAACUCCGUGCCAGCCGCCGCGGUAAUUC
rnacentral:rRNA from 1 species